GCAAACUCGCGAGAGUAAGCUAAUCUCUUAAAGCCGUUCUCAGUUCGGACUGUAGGCUGCAACUCGCCUACACGAAGUCGGAAUCGCUAGUAAUCGCGGAUCAGCAUGCCGCGGUGAAUACGUUCCCGGGCCUUGUACACACCGCCCGUCACACCAUGGGAGUUUGUAACGCCCAAAGUCGGUGGCCUAACCUUUACAGGAGGGAGCUGCCGAAGGCGGGGCUGAUAACUGGGGUGAAGUCGUAACAAGGUAGC
rnacentral:rRNA from 1 species